GGGGCCACGCCGAGUAGGAUCGAGGGUACA
rnacentral:sRNA from 1 species